rnacentral:rRNA from 1 species
UACGGAGGGUGCAAGCGUUAUCCGGAUUCACUGGGUUUAAAGGGUGCGUAGGUGGGUUGGUAAGUCAGGGGUGAAAUCCCGAGGCUCAACCUCGGAACUGCCUUUGAUACUAUUGGUCUUGAAUCUUGUUGAGGUGGGCGGAACGGGUCAUGUAGCGGUGAAAUGCAUAGAUAUGACCCGGAACACCGAUUGCGAAGGCAGCCCGCUAAGCAAGCAUUGACGCUGAGGCACGAAAGCGUGGGGAUCAAACAGG